rnacentral:pre_miRNA from 1 species
UUUCUACUCCCUCCGUCCGAAAAUACUUGUCAUCAAAAUGGAUAAAAAGAGAUGUAUCUAAAACUAAAAUACGUCUAGAUACAUUUCCUUUUAUCCANGAUAAAAAGAGAUGUAUCUAAAACUAAAAUACGUCUAGAUACAUUUCCUUUUAUCCAUUUUGAUGACAAGUAUUUCCGGACGGAGGGAGUAUUUG